AGAGUUUGAUCCUGGCUCAGAUUGAACGCUGGCGGCAGGCCUAACACAUGCAAGUCGAGCGGCAGCGACUUAACUGAACCUUCGGGGAACGUUAAGGGCGGCGAGCGGCGGACGGGUGAGUAAUGCCUGGGAAUAUGCCCUGAUGUGGGGGAUAACUAUUGGAAACGAUAGCUAAUACCGCAUAAUCUCUUCGGAGCAAAGAGGGGGACCUUCAGGCCUCUCGCGUCAGGAUUAGCCCAGGUGGGAUUAGCUUGUUGGUGAGGUAAUGGCUCACCAAGGCAACGAUCCCUAGCUGGUCUGAGAGGAUGAUCAGCCACACUGGAACUGAGACACGGUCCAGACUCCUACGGGAGGCAGCAGUGGGGAAUAUUGCACAAUGGGGGAAACCCUGAUGCAGCCAUGCCGCGUGUGUGAAGAAGGCCUUCGGGUUGUAAAGCACUUUCAGUAGGGAGGAAGGUAGUGUAGUUAACACCUGCACUAUUUGACGUUACCUACAGAAGAAGCACCGGCUAACUCCGUGCCAGCAGCCGCGGUAGUACGGAGGGUGCGAGCGUUAAUCGGAAUUACUGGGCGUAAAGCGCAUGCAGGCGGCCUGUUAAGUCAGAUGUGAAAGCCCGGGGCUUAACCUCGGAAUUGCAUUUGAAACUGGCAGGCUAGAGUCUUGUAGAGGGGGGUAGAAUUUCAGGUGUAGCGGUGAAAUGCGUAGAGAUCUGAAGGAAUACCAGUGGCGAAGGCGGCCCCCUGGACAAAGACUGACGCUCAGAUGCGAAAGCGUGGGGAGCGAACAGGAUUAGAUACCCUGGUAGUCCACGCCGUAAACGAUGUCUACUUGGAGGUUGUGGCCUUGAGCCGUGGCUUUCGGAGCUAACGCGUUAAGUAGACCGCCUGGGGAGUACGGUCGCAAGAUUAAAACUCAAAUGAAUUGACGGGGGCCCGCACAAGCGGUGGAGCAUGUGGUUUAAUU
rnacentral:rRNA from 1 species